GCCGCAGUAGCUCAAUUGGUUAGAGCACCGCACGCCUAAUGCGGAGGUUGUGGGAUCGUUCGCCACCUGCGGCA